rnacentral:rRNA from 1 species
CCUACGGGUGGCAGCAGUAGGGAAUAUUGCUCAAUGGGGGAAACCCUGAAGCAGCAACGCCGCGUGGAGGAUGAAGGUUUUCGGGUUGUAAAGAUCUUUAAUCGGGGACGAAUUUUGACGGUACCCGAAGAAUAAGCUCCGGCUAACUACGUGCCAGCAGCCGCGGUAAUACGUAGGGGGCAAGCGUUAUCCGGAUUUACUGGGGGUAAGGGCGUGUAGGCGGGCAUGCAAGCCAGAAGUGAAAUCUGGGGGCUUAACCCCCAAACUGCUUUUGGAACUGCGUGUCUUGAGUGAUGGAGAGGCAGGCGGAAUUCCCAGUGUAGCGGUGAAAUGCGUAGAUAUUAGGAGGAACACCAGUGGCGAAGGCGGCCUGCUGGACGACAACUGACGGUGAGGCGCGAAAGCGUGGGGAGCAAACAGGAUUAGAUACCCGAGUAGUC